rnacentral:rRNA from 1 species
CCUACGGGCGGCAGCAGUGAGGAAUAGUGGUCAAUGGCCGCAGGGCUGAACCAGCCAAGUCGCGUGAGGGAUGACGGUCCUAUGGAGUGUAAACCUCUUUUGUCAGGGAGCAAAGGGCGCCACGUGUGGCGUUUUGCGAGUACCGGAAGAAAAAGCAUCGGCUAACCCCGGGCCAGCAGCCGCGGUAAUACGGAGGAUGCGAGCGUUAUCCGGAUUUAUUGGGUGUAAAGGGUGCGCAGGCGGAAUGUCAAGUCAGCGGUAAACUUUCGGGGCUCAACCCCGUCGUGCCGUUGAAACUGGCGUUCUUGAGUGAGCGAGCAGUAUGCGGAAUUCGUUGUGUAGCGGU